CAGUAUAAUGUAAUCAGCUGUUUCAUUAAUAUGGGCAAGCAUCGCAUGAAAGCAUUGAAAAAUAUUGGAAUCUGUUUUUUAAAAACAUUUCAAUAAAUAAUAAUAAAAUAAAUCAUUUCAUAGCUGAAUUCAGACCAUAUCAGGCACUGUGGCUAAAACGCAGGCGGGGCCUGGGCGAUAGGAUGGUACAGCACACACACACAAGCCCAGUGCGAAACAAAGCAAGAAAACGCCGCAGGUAGCGGUUCCGUUUCGGUCUCUCUGACGCGUGGAUCUGGAUAUAGCCUAUUCAGGAAGCGUGGGGGAACAAUAGCCUAUACCUCCCAGCACUGAUCUAUAACAUGAACGGGCUAUACAUCUUUCUGCUGUGUGCUCCUGUGCUCGCUCAGUGGUUUGCAGUUGCAGCAAGUCAAGAUAUAGGCCUACUGCUUGAUUACAGGUGGACACACAACUUGGCAGGUGUUUUUCUGCCAGAAUCCAGGAUGUGCCGCUAAUGUGACUUGCGUGUAUUGCAAUGACGAGCUUCUCCACAGUCACACUCCCAUCGCAGAUUGCAGCGGUCAUCCACCACCGAGUACUGUCUGCCAGCAUGAUGGCCGGGCGUUCGUUUCCACCGACGCAAAUGCUGAUUGCGAGUUUGAAGGAAUAUCAGGUUAUAUGAAAACUGAAAAAUGCACAGUCCACAGCAAGAUUUGUGAUUUUAACAGAGAUAUGCGCAUGGACAAUGCAAAACUUGGAAGCAUUGUUGGUGGAGUUGUUUGGCUAAAAUGUUUGUCUUUCUAACGCUGACAAUCAGGUUUAGUAUGCCUACUAGUAGGCUUAUAUCUGUGUUUCUGUAAAAAGAGACGAUGCAGAGAGCAACAUCAACAGCCAGUAAGUGACUCUGCAUGUGACUGUACCCCUAGAAGAGAUACAAAGCAGUAAGCCCAGUGAGAGAGAUUGUGGUGUUGGUCCUGGAUUGGAUAGUGGCAGCUCUCCUCAGUGUGACCCGAGCUUAAACUCCUGCAGCAUUUUAAUUUGUUGUAUUUUGCAGAUUUUUGUAAAUAAGCAUGUUAUGUGUGCACGAGGGUACUUUUUAUUAUAUGUUGUACAAGCUUCCACCCCAGGCAAAGGUAAAGGUACUUUAUUUGACAAAUGCAUGUAGCGAGAUUCAUCCUCUGCUACGCGAAGUGCAAAUCAAGUUUAGAAGUGUAGCUGUUUUUGGUCUAAAGUGCGCGCCCUCUAGUGGCCUAGUGCAGUGUGUUGUCAGGGUGGUGAUGUUUUUAUGAAUGAGCAACGCAGGCUUGGGGAGUGGCUCCCUCAUGUGAUCCAACUGCGUUGUAUGCACCAUCACACAGAUGUUGAAUUGAUCACAUAUUUACCAAAUAUCGAUCACACUCACUCUUCACUUAGUUCCCUGAUGUGGUGAAUAUAGAACAUAGACCUUGUCCCUUUUUUGACUGGUUUCUUUUGUUAAUGAAUGUGUCUGUAUACCGAGUACCACUAUUUACUGCAAGCACAAAGGUGAUUUUAUGAUGAUUUUUAUUUUAACUUCUUUCUUCAUUUUCUUUGUGAUGUGUGGGGUUUGCCCCUCUGAAGGUGUAAGAUGGCAAAUUCAAUUGUAAUUCCAUUUGAGAAUUAAAAUGUGAGAGUUGUUAUUAGACAUUUCUUUAAUGAUAGGAAAUGACUUUCAUAUAAUAUUUAAUGUACUCCUAAAACUUCUCUGAAAAAAAAAAAUAUA